AACGCGAAGACCCUUACCUACUCUUGACAUCCAGAGAACUUUCCAGAGAUGGAUUGGUGCCUUCGGGAACUCUGAGACAGGUGCUGCAUGGCUGUCGUCAGCUCGUGUUGUGAAAUGUUGGGUUAAGUCCCGCAACGAGCGCAACCCUUAUCCUUUGUUGCCAGCGGUCCGGCCGGGAACUCAAAGGAGACUGCCAGUGAUAAACUGGAGGAAGGUGGGGAUGACGUCAAGUCAUCAUGGCCCUUAUGAGUAGGGCUACACACGUGCUACAAUGGCGCAUACAAAGAGAAGCGAACUCGCGAGAGCAAGCGGACCUCAUAAAGUGCGUCGUAGUCCGGAUUGGAGUCUGCAACUCGACUCCAUGAAGUCGGAAUCGCUAGUAAUCGUAGAUCAGAAUGCUACGGUGAAUACGUUCCCGGGCCUUGUACACACCG
rnacentral:rRNA from 1 species